rnacentral:rRNA from 1 species
GAGAGUGAGAGAAGGGCGUUCGGUGGAUGCCUUGGCGCCAAGAGGCGAUGAAGGACGUGGC